rnacentral:rRNA from 1 species
CCUACGGGAGGCAGCAGUGAGGAAUAUUGCACAAUGGGGGCAACCCUGAUGCAGCGACGCCGCGUGAGUGAAGAAGUAUUUCGGUGUGUAAAGCUCUAUCAGCAGGGAAGAAAAUGACGGUACCUGAUUAUGAAGCCCCGGCUAACUACGUGCCAGCAGCCGCGGUACUACGUAGGGGGCAAGCGUUAUCCGGAUUUACUGGGUGUAAAGGGAGCGUAGACGGGUGCACAAGUCUGGAGUGAAAGGCCGGGGCUUAACCCCGGAACUGCUUUGGAAACUGUGCAGCUAGAGUGCAGGUGAGGUAAGUGGAAUUCGUAGUGUAGCGGUGAAAUGCGUAGAUAUUAGGAGGAACACCAGUGGCGAAGGCAGCUUACUGGACUGUAACUGACGUUGAGGCUCGAAAGUGUGGGGAGCAAACAGGAUUAGAUACCCGUGUAGUC